GACCACAUGACCAAGUGGGCUCGCGGCCAAACCACAAGCUACAAAAUGCAGACCCCGAAGUGAGCAGGGAAGCAUUCUCUCCAGCAGCCUGGACCAACGGGUAGUUGGGAGUCGCGGGCAGAGCACAGCUAACCACUUGGAGAGUUUUUGCUGCUGACUGGAGCCACCAAGGCCAGCUUCGCGGCGCUGCCCUGCGGCGGCAGAGGAGGCUGCACCAGAGCAGAGGCAGCGAGCAGGCUUGGGGCCGGUAGCCAGCGGUGCGGCUGGGGCGCUCACUCUCUCCAGCCAGCGGUCCGGGAGCCACGCGAGCUCCGUGCCCGCACGCGCUAGCCCCGGCUCGCGCCUUUCUUUGCGUCAGGGUGCCCGGCCUCUCCGCCCACUCGCCGGCUCAUUAGGGCUGCCACGGACCGAGUUGCAGCAUGAAUCUGAGUUUCUGCGUGCAGGCGCUGCUGCUGCUCUGGCUCUCCUUGACUGCCGUGUGUGGAGUGCCACUGAUGCUGCCUCCAGAUGGGAAAGGGCUAGAAGAAGGCAACAUGCGCUACCUGGUGAAGCCCAGAACUUCGAGGACUGGACCAGGGGCCUGGCAGGGAGGCAGGAGGAAAUUUCGCAGACAGCGGCCCCGUCUCUCCCAUAAGGGACCCAUGCCUUUCUAAAGCAGGAUUGAAGGGCUCUCCAAGUGCCCUCCCGGUGCCAGUCUCUUUACUCCACAGAUGAGUUCUCUUCUCUGGAACCCUCACAUCUAUUUGGCUCUCAUCUUGCACCUGUUAUCGCUGCUGAUGGUCCCAGCUCUUCUUCUCACCCACCAAGUUCCUCUAAUGGCGUGGUCUCACCCCUCAUUUGGAUGAUUCCAUUUCUCUUGCAAGGAUCCCUUUGGCCCAUCUUCCUGGCCACUCCUUGGACUGCCCUUGGAGACCCAGCUUCUCCUGGCCUGCUCCAGGCGCUAGUUCCUAUCUUUUGGCUUUAGCCUGCUCUUGGUCCCUCCCUUUUUUCAUUUGCCUUGGGCACUGGACAAGAACACUCCCUUCUUCAAUGGAUUCCUGCACAUCCAUACUUUCUUAUCAAUUGGACCUCUCGCCUGGAAGGGAGUACAGGGAUGUACAAUGAGACUUUGGUUGAGAGGGAUUGGGUGUUGGGGUCCAGAGAAGGUGCACUGGGGAAACAGUGGGCAUAAGGAAGGGGUGAGGAGAAAUAGCUGUCAUGGCCUCUUCCUUAGCUCUCUCUGGCCCUGUUAAAGGAAGAUGCAAAGGAGAGGAACCCAUGAAGUGCUAUGUCACUGUGUCUCCUAACAUCUUUGCUCUCUCUGUUCUAUUGCCGCUGGUUCACUCCCCAGGUCAAAAGGGGAAAGUGCUGAUCCUGACAUGGUUCUAUACUCUUCUGGGAGUAAUUUUGCCAAAAAAAAAAAAAAAUUCCAAACCAAACAACCCACAGAAAGUCAGAGCCCAAAGGACCCUUGAAGAUCAUUUAGCUUCCUUAUGCAAAAGCUUGCACAAACAGGCCCUGGAGAGGGAAAUGACCUUCUCAGAGCCACUGCAGAGCCUCACAGGGCACCAGGGCCCCCAACUCCCACUUUAUGAUGCCCUUUUUCCUCUUGAUGAUGUCCUUUCAUAGCAAAUGAAGUGCCUUUUGAUGGGUUUAGUGAAGUGGGUGGCUAGGAAGGAAAAGCAAGGGAGAGACAAGCCAGUUAGGAAGUGCCUUGUGUGGGACUUCUUCCAAUGUGGCCUGGAAGAGUCCAUAAGAGGUGAGGUGUACCCCACACAGGCCUAUUCCCAGGCUCAUGCGAUUUUAAUUGAGGUUCUCAGGAACUGAAACUACCAUUUAGGCCCUGAAACUAGUUGUCAUGAACCCCUAUGUUGACUGGGCCCUUGAUCUUGAGGCUUUUGGGGGAUGGAGAAAGGCGAAGAAAGGAAGGAGAGUGGAAGGAUGUGUAGGUGGGCUCUAUCACUACAAGUGGUCUCAUCUCUCACCAGGAGCCAUUUGUAGCCCUUCCCUGAAGGGAGACUCUCAUCUCUGCUUGAGCAGAUGUUUUUCUCAGAGGCCUCUCAGGAGGGAGAAAAGAGAAGACAGAAGCUUGAAUUCACUUACAUAUGUAUAGGGUAGGGGGAGUCAGGACCCCCAAGCCCCAUAAUAACCUGAUUGCCUAUUCACCCGUCCCAAAAUCCUUCCCAUCUGCUGCUGCUAAUGCUGCUGCUGCUGCUGCCGCUUCAAGGCCCACCCUGGGGAGCUGGGCCAGUCAUAGAGUCCUCACUCCUUGGGCUUGAAGUGGGGGCUUGCUGGUGCCUCUUCUACUGCUGGUACCCCUGCCAGGGACCAGGCCUUCUCUGUCUUUGUUGUUUUUGUACCUCUUGCCUUAUCAGCCUGCCAUGGCCAAUCCCACAGGGAAGGGGAGGGAAGGAGGAUGUUGGCUGAGAAAGAGGAGAGAUAGAAACAGAAGAGGGGGAGUGAAUGGACCCAGUGGGCUGUCUUAUUUAAAGUGGUUGUGUAUGAUUCUUAUACUAAUUUAUAUAGAGAUAUUAAGGCCCUCUGAGUUAAAGAAACUGUCCUCAUCCCGUGUGUUCACUAUGUUUGUAAAAAAUGUUCCAUGUAAAUAUGUCUUUAUAAUAAAGAGUUAAAAGCUGACAGUUUGCCCUUACUUGUUGAGGUCAUAUUCAGGAGGGGCCUUCUUUUCCCCCUAGGGCCGAGCUUGUCCCUGUGCCCACAGAUUGCACGUGUAGGGAGGUGAGUGCUUGUAUCCCAAAUUGGUUCUAGGUCAACUGGCCUCAAACCGAUUUGCCACAAGCUCACAAAAAGCCUCGCUAUGCUUAAGGGCCAGUUCACAUAAAUUUGAGCCCCUUUUAAGUCCUUUGGCAUCUGUUCGAAUGUCCUCAUUUUUCUGGCAGUGUCACUUAAAGGUUUUUUUCAGAAGCAAUUCAUUUAAGGACACGCUGAUCAGAGGUGGGAAUUGUACUACAUGCUGUUUUGUAACCCUGGUGGGUGUCUUGUGUUGUAUCUGCUUUUGAAUACUUUCGGGACUUUUUAGCCAGUUUGCCUUUCUUGACAAAUGUUGUCUUCAGCCAUAAAUACAUUUGGUAAUGACUUUGUAUGUAUCAUUUUAUGUUUCACAAAGUGGAGUUGCUUGAUGAAUGAGAUAGCCUGGAAAAUAAAAUGCGAGGAGUUCAAUAC
rnacentral:lncRNA from 1 species